ensembl:lncRNA
UUCUCAGUUAAAAAGGGGAAUUCCACUUUUCUGUUUCUGUUGAGUCCGUAUGGUUUCAUAUCGUUAUGUGAGUUUCACAGCCUUCCUAAUGUGAUGUUAAAGGGGAACUUCACCCAUUUGAAGUUUGGGUGGCCUUAUUUUUCUCUUUAUAUAUAUUAUAUCUACUGUGCCAUUAAUCCAUGUUUGAAAGAUUUAACCUUAAUAUGCAAAUAUUGAGUUAUAGGAUGGUGGAAACAAAAUAUGUAAUAUUAGUGAGAUUGGUGUGUUUUAUAUACACAUUUUCAUAAUGCAUUCAGUCAAUGGAAAGUGAUUCAGCAAAAGUAAAACCAAUUUUCAGAAAUACGAUAUCAAAAAACUAUUUGGGAAAUCAACUACAAACAUUGAAAGGGAGAACAUAGAACAUGUGAAAAUGUGUUAACUUCCCCUUUAACUGACAGUAUAACAACAGCAUUUCCUCUUGGGGAUCAUUCAAAUAUAAAAUGCAAACAUUUUACAGUUUUGUUAUGGAUCGCCAUUAAACUCUAACUCACAUAGUAAUGAUUUUUUGAAACCAUCUAUAGAAUGGACUGGAGAACAGCGAACAGAACAAUUGAUUGUAAUUACCCCACUAAUGGUUAUUUUGAAAUGAUUUGUCUCUGCAUUCCUGAAAUAUGACGUACCAGUCACCAGCCAAAUGAAUGCAAAGCUGCAUGAUGAGUUGGGAACUGAAGUUGAUGGAGAAAUGUUUGAGGAGGUGCUGACACAGCCAAGUCCUGGUGUUUUCACAGUCACCCUGGACAAUGAUCCUGUGUCUUCCCAGAUGACUUCCUCCUUUGCCCGUUCCUUGUUGGAGAUCUCGGCCAUUGAGUCGGAUGAUACUGUCAUUCUGAGCGAUGAUUGGAGCCUUUCAAGAAAACGACAGAGAGCUGAGGAUGAAGCUAAACUGAGUUUUACCCCCCUGAUAGUUGCGAGCUGUAAUCCAGUGCACACCUUUUUACCUGCAGUGUCCGAUGAGAGCGGGACAUCAGCACCACGCCAUGAGGGAGACAUAUGCUCAAGGAAUUGUCGACUUGUUCCCUUACCUCAAGGACUCCUACAAAACUGAAGGAUAUGAACAUUAUUUUGACCCUCAAACUGGAAAUGGUUACUUGUCCUCUGAACCAUCCAGAGGAAUUCAGCUUCACCUGAGAAAUUACCACCUAGCCAGUCAUUCAGUGGUGGGCCAAUAGCUGAGAUAGAGACUCCAUCCCAUCCAGAGAUUAUCCUGAUUUGGUGAAAAGUGUAGGGAAGUCAUUUCCCUGAUGAAGCGUUCUUCUGAGGAGGUCACCAACAAGCAGAAGAUGACAUUUGAAUACAGACGGAAGAUGACUCAUGACCCAAGUAAAUGCUGCGAGUUGCUGACAGGAUUUCCACAAUUCAUGGAUAUGAAGUGCCUGGAUGGACAGUGACCUCUCCUCCAUCCUCCUCCAGCUCCUUUUGAUUCCCCCUUCAUCACAAGGCCACAAAAGACGAGGCAAGGCAGGAACCAGUAUCCAGAAACGCAUUGAUGCUAUUGCCCAAAGCAGUUAACCGUACCUCCUUGCUGCCAGGACCAAGAGGAGCAGCAUCCAUAGUUACUUGAUCAUCCUGGACAAGCAAGCUCUGCCAUGAAACUCUACAAGCACUUUUUUUCUUAAAACUUUAGUUUAUUUGUUAAAUAUUUUCUUUACUCUUCUUGAACUGCACUGUUGGUUAAGGGCUUGUAAGUAAGCAUUUCACGGUAAUGUCUACAGUUGUUGUAUUUGGCGCAUGUGAGAAAUAAAGUUUGAUUUGAUGAGCUAUUCGAUCUGAUGCUGCACAGUAUGUACACCUUCAUACAGACAACUGUGUACAAGAUAGAUAUUAGGAAGGUUAUAGAGAGUCCGUCUGUUGUAGAGCUUAGAGCUAGAUUCCUACACUUAAGUAGAAAUAUGGAGUUCAAAUAUGAUUUUUGUUUGUCAUGCUAGUCUUUGGACUUCCAUCUUGCUUGUUAGGAAUCUCUAGUUGGUUCAUGGACUUUGCCCUGGUAAAACACUUACGCUGAAAUGUGGUCAAACAGGUUGUUGUCAUGUAUUUGGUACUUUUCCAGGCUUAAGGAAACAUGGUACACAUGGGACAAGAGG